AGUAACACGUGGGUAACCUGCCUGUAAGACUGGGAUAACUCCGGGAAACCGGGGCUAAUACCGGAUGGUUGUUUGAACCGCAUGGUUCAAACAUAAAAGGUGGCUUCGGCUACCACUUACAGAUGGACCCGCGGCGCAUUAGCUAGUUGGUGAGGUAACGGCUCACCAAGGCGACGAUGCGUAGCCGACCUGAGAGGGUGAUCGGCCACACUGGGACUGAGACACGGCCCAGACUCCUACGGGAGGCAGCAGUAGGGAAUCUUCCGCAAUGGACGAAAGUCUGACGGAGCAACGCCGCGUGAGUGAUGAAGGUUUUCGGAUCGUAAAGCUCUGUUGUUAGGGAAGAACAAGUACCGUUCGAAUAGGGCGGUACCUUGACGGUACCUAACCAGAAAGCCACGGCUAACUACGUGCCAGCAGCCGCGGUAAUACGUAGGUGGCAAGCGUUGUCCGGAAUUAUUGGGCGUAAAGGGCUCGCAGGCGGUUUCUUAAGUCUGAUGUGAAAGCCCCCGGCUCAACCGGGGAGGGUCAUUGGAAACUGGGGAACUUGAGUGCAGAAG
rnacentral:rRNA from 1 species